AAUCUCUCUAAGUAAAACACGGUGCUUUUAAUGAGCCAGCGAUCACAGUUCAGUCAGGGAGAUGGUGGCUAAGGAUGCCAGGCCUGACACUUGAGUGCUGCGUUUUCCUUGUGUACCAAUUAUGGUUACUGUAACUUGGGCAGCAUCAGAGAAGGGCUGCCCCCUACCACCUCACCUCGCAAAAAUGUGUUUCUUAUAUUAAAACUCUCACGCACGCACACACACACACACACACACACUCUCUCUCCUUUGUAAAGGUAUCUCUCCAUUCGUACUUUGUCUGAUGGUGAAGCCACAGGGGCCGUGAGCCCUGUGAGUGCCGUCCCCACCCCAGGGUGACAUCAGCAGAGUGCGUGUGUGAGGCCCAGAGGUACACCACUCCUUCAGUCUGCCAGUGUGCCUCCUGCCUGCCUUGGAGGUAGCCUUACUCCCUGGGACGCGUCCAAGAAACUGAAAGCAAUAGGCAGAUUUGGAUUUCAGCUCCUCACCUGACGGAUGACCCCAGCCUGCUCUGCUAUGAGAUGGAGCACACCAGUGAUUACUGUAAAAGGCUGUUGUGAAGGUUCCAGGAAGUAUUCCUGAAGUUCCUGGCCACUGGCUCACAUGUACAAGAUACUGAAAAUUCAUCCCAAUGCCAACCAAGGUGCCACCUGACCACCCAAAAUGCUCCUCCUUGCCACCUCAUUUUUGUUCACCAGGAGCAGCAGAGACACCCACUGUUGUUGACAGUGGACAUACGACUUACAUUUUCAGGAAUUUAACUCAGGCUGUCCCCAAUCCUUGGGAGAACAAAGUCCCUCUUGGUGCAUUCAUCUUUAAUCAGAUGGCAUAAAAUUUUUCUACCUCAAUCUGCGCCUCCUCAAUUAUUUCCAAGUAUUUCCACAAGGCACCCACUUCUCCCAAGAUAUUUUAAUGCCGUUCGUGUCGAAAUAUGGGCAAUGGCUCUUGUAGAAUCCAUGGACACAUAGGCCAACUGUCCAGAUUCCUGGACUCCAUCAGAGACCUGCUGCGUGGCCUCUCAAGGACCAGGGCGUGUUUCUCUCUUGCAGCCCAACCACAGACACUUCCUGAGAUGGAGGUAUGGCUCAUGCAGUGACAGGUCCAUCACUGCAGGGUGUGGGAAGUGGGAUGCCCGACGACAUCACCCCAGUCCCUGCGAUCUGCACGUGCUGUCGCCUUGUGUGGCAAAAGGGUCUUUGCAGCUGUCCAUAGGACUAUGGAACCUGAAAAUAGAUUGUCUUGGGUUAUUCAGGUGGGCCCUAUUUAACCACAGGGGCCUUUGAAAGCAGACAGUUUCCCUGGGCCAAAGGCAGGGAAAGGGGCACAGAGAGUCCACAUGGGAGAGGCUCUUGACCUGACAUUGCAGCAGGGGCCACGUGGAAACUGAUGGGGAAUGUGGGGGCCUCUAGAGGAAAAGACCAGUCCUGGCUGAGGAAAUGGUGCCUGUAUCAGAGGACAGGACACACUGGAGAAAGCAGUACCCGGCUGAGGACACGGAGGAUACCCAAAUCAGAGGAUGGGAUGGACCAGAGGAGGCAGGGACUCAGUCCCACUGCUACAAGAACUGAAUUCAGCCAGCACCCUGGGGAGCGCCUCCUUCCCUGGAGUCUCUGGUAAAUAAUGCAGCCCUGCAGGAGACUUGAGCUCAGCCCAUGAGAUCCUGUGCCGAGGACACAGCGGAGCCCACACUGACUUCCAAUCUAUAGAACAGUGAGAGACGAUAAAGCUCUGCGGUUUGAAGCUGACAAGUUGGUGGUGAUUGGUUAAGGCAGCAGAAGAAAAUGAGAUUAAACAGUAACGUUCUAUGGACUAAUGGUGAGAAUCAACCUGCAGAGAGGACUCAGGGGCCCAGGCUCACCUCCUCCCAGUCACCAAGGAGCAGGCACUUAGGUCAAAUUCCUUCCCGAGUUAAUCCUGGUAAAAUGAAGAGGCCACCCCAGGAAUACAGCUCUUAACGGGUAGAAGUCAGAGAAAAGAAAUCUUCCCAUCCGAACAGUCAUCCCCACCGUGAGCAUGUGCACCCGCAGGACUCCCAGGUUGCAAUCCUCUUCUGAAAGUCCCCGAGGGGUUCCGGUCUGUAGUCGGCCCCAUCCUCGAUUUGGGGCACCUGAGUCGACACUGGGCUUGUGUCUGGAACUGGAUUUGUCAAAUACUCACCAGCCCUUCCCAGGGACCCUUUUCCUCCAGUCUCUGGCUGGUGUAUGAAGUGCCUGAGAAGCAAAUGUGGACAGUAGAGCGUGCCUAGCACCAGAGCCCAGAUAUGACUGAUCUCCAGCUUUGAUGAUGCCAAGAAUUCUUGCAUUCGUCCUCAUGUGCUAGAUCUCAACGCCAUUCGGAGUGGAUCCUGCAUCCAUGUGAGAUGUGGGUGUUGAGCGUGGGCCAUCAUCCUGGGGCCCACGGUGGCUGUGCUUCCUGAGCCCUAUUCCUCUGCCUCGGUCUGGGUGCUUCCCACUUCAGGCUGUGCUGCGGAUAUCUCCUUGUGCUUCUGCACAAGGCCCCACUAGGUUUUGAUGACUUAAGGGAACACAGUAUCUUGGAUCAAUAAUAAGACAUUCGGGGGUAUUUUAAGUCCAUCAGAUCUUGCUCAUGGGUACAGUUCCUGGCGUGAAGCCCAGGACUCUGUGGAUGUAACAAGUGUCUCCAGGUGGCUCUGGACAGUGAGGGGAUAUUUGAGAACCUCUGCCCAAGGGAUCCGUGACUACUCCAGGGAUCUGUGGCUGUCAUGAGCGUCUCCAGGUGGUCCUGGGCCAUGGGGGGAUCACUGAGGACCACUGCUCAAGGGAUCCGUGACUACUCCAGGACUCUGUGUCUGUCAUAAGCAACUCCAGGUGGCCCUGAGCAGUGGGGAGAUCAUUGAGGACCACUGCUCAAGGGAUCUGCUCCAGGGAUCUGUGGCUGUCACAAGCAUCUCCAGGUGGCCCUGGGCCCUGGGGGGAUCACUGAGGACUACUGCUCAAGGGAUGCUUUCUUAUUCCCUCGGCCCCAGCCAGAAUAUCCCACGCAAGCUGGGUGAUUCUGAUAAACACAGUUCUCACUCCAGUACAAAUGACUGAUGACUUGUGAAAACUUGUCACACUCCUGACCUCAGAGAGUGAACAAAUGGGCCUUUUCCACAAGAAAGAAAGCAGGGAAAGUGGCAGAGAGAGUCCACGUGGGAUAGGCUCAUAGCAGAGCCUCAGUGGUCCUGGCCAACCCCUGUCCUGGGCUCCCCCCAGCAUCUUCGCUCACUGGCCUGUACCACCUGCUCACAGCCCACAUGUUAGCAGAGUCUGAUGCACGGGCAGGCAGGAAACACACCACUGGGGCUGAACCCUGUGAUUUUAUGCUCUGAAGAGCUUGCCUGUGGGAACCAAUCCCCUAAAAUUGGAUGUUUUCUUUUAUAUUGAAAAACAAUAAAAAGGACAGUUAAAAAUCAAUUGAGUGUUUGACCCACAUGUAAAUGAAAGAAACUUCAGUUCUGUCCCAUGGGAACAGUGCCCCCAGAUUAGGGUGGA
rnacentral:lncRNA from 1 species